rnacentral:lncRNA from 1 species
UUGCCUAAACAGCUUAAGGUACAAAGAUUUUUAAGACAAAAGAUCUGAGUUUCUACUUUCUACAAUGCAUCAUCAAAUAAAAAUAAAGAGACUAAGUCAGAAACUAAUCUACAGCUAAAACUAAUUUUUGUUUGGUUUGAUUUUUUACUAACCUUAUGAAUGGUGUGGAGGUCCAAAAUACAUCAUACUCGAGGGCUGAAAACUCGGACCUUGUUGCGAUUGUUGCUGAGCUGUGUUUGGUUGAUUACUCAUCAUAUGAGGCGGCAUUGAUCCAGGGGGAGGCGGCAAUUGACCAGGCGGCAUUAGCGGAAUGUUACCAAAUCCAUAUGGUAUAAACUGCUGCGAUGCAGCUGGAUUUGGGAUCAUGUGAUAC